rnacentral:rRNA from 1 species
GACGAACGCUGGCGGCGUGCUUAACACAUGCAAGUCGAACGGAAAGGCCCUGCUUUUGUGGGGUGCUCGAGUGGCGAACGGGUGAGUAACACGUGAGUAACCUGCCCUUGACUUUGGGAUAACUUCAGGAAACUGGGGCUCAUACCGGGUAGGAGCUCCUGCUGCAUGGUGGGGGUUGGAAAGAUUCGGCGGUUGGGGAUGGACUCGCGGCUUAUCAGCCUGUUGGUGGGGUAGUGGCUUACCAAGGCUUUGACGGGUAGCCGGCCUGAGAGGGUGACCGGCCACAUUGGGACUGAGAUACGGCCCAGACUCCUACGGGAGGCAGCAGUGGGGAAUAUUGCACAAUGGGCGGAAGCCUGAUGCAGCAACGCCGCGUGCGGGAUGACGGCCUUCGGGUUGUAAACCGCUUUCGCCUGUGACGAAGCGUGAGUGACGGUAAUGGGUAAAGAAGCACCGGCUAACUACGUG